CCGCCGCCUCUGGGCGGCCAAUUUAAUCUCGCGGAGCUGCGGCCGCCGCCGCGGGAGUCCCCUCAGUCGCUGCCGCCGCCCGGCCCUCGUACGGCCAGCCCAGUCCAGAGCGAGGAAGUGGAGGAGAGUCAGCGAAGUUCACAAUGCAAGAAAGAAUGGCCAUAGCUGUGCCCUUGGUGACUCUAGGUAGAUGCCAAUCCUACAUCUCCUCCAGGCCACCGUUGGUUGUACUUCUGUGUUUACUAUGCUCCUCUGAAAAACCAUGCUGCAGAAACUGUGAAGAUCUGAUUAAGGUAUUUUAGAACACGACUUUAGAAGCCAAUCUGAAAUCAUGGACAUUACUAAUGGAAGAUAAAUGUUCUCAUUGGUUAUAUGCAAGCAGGAAAAAUGGAGGACAUUUACUGGAUUGCCUGGACUUUCUCAAAUAACUAAACAAACUUAUUGAAGGCUUGUUUAGAAGUGAUUCAAAUAAUUCAAACUUUGAAAUUAUGUCACGUUCUAGAGAUGGUCCCAGGGUUCAGUAUGCCCUGCAAUCAGCACACCCCCAUCUGACUGCUGUGGGAGCAGCUGCAUUAUCUGCAUUUGGCCAAGUAAGCAAACUCUGCACCGUGUCACAGUGUUUGUUGUUUGCUAAUGGGCUAGUAGUUAAAAACUGCUUAAAAACUCUAAUUACACAUUUUCAGAUAAUGCAGAAGUGGCAUAUGGUUGGCUUCAUUACUUGAAGAUAUACACAUACAGACUUUACUUGUAUACUUUGUCUGGUGCAUAGUAGCUAUUCAAUAAAUGCUUUAUAAAUGCCUGAAAAUGACAUCAAGCCUUAACUAAUUCAUUACCAUGCACUGAAUACAGAGUUAAACAUAUAAAGUAUAUAAUAUUACUUAAUUCACAAAAGAAUCCUCUGGGGGGGCUUUAUUAUCCCCAUUUCAAAUAUAUGUUAACUGGGGUGCAGGAAUGUUAAGCAAGCGACUCACCCAGGUUGUAUCAAUCUAGCAUGUGGCAGAAGUGGCUUUUGAACCCAGAUUGUCUAGCCCCUUAACCAUUAUGCUCUGCUGCCUCUUUUUGAAGUGGGUAUCUGAUGGCAGAGACCUAGAUUUGCUAAGAAUCCCAAGACUGGUUUAAGACCACUGUCAAGCACAUUUUAUGCCUAUUUCAUUAAAAACCAUUUUGUUGGGGAGGUCCUAGCUCCUGCACAUAGAUGGGAAAAGUACACAUUUGGUACAUAAACCCCACUUACACACAUUCAAAAUGAUUCAGUCAGUGGGUUAGCAGAGGUUGUUUUAAGCCAAAUGACACCUGUAAAGUAAAGUUACGUUGCUGCUCUUUCCUUUUAAAUCUGAACUUCUUACUUAACUGACCUGGUCUGUUGCAAACAUCGAUGUGUCAUAAAAAAUACGUUACCUUAUAAAUCACAUCUCUCCUGUAGGACAUUACAACAUUUUUUAUGGCCCAUCUGAACCUCUUGAAGCUUUGUUUCUUCAGAACCUAUUCCAGUUACAAAGAGAUGAGGUUUUUACUUCAAAGGAAGCAGCUAUGAAACCUACACUUGUAGAACACAAAACUACCUCCUUAAGGUUUUUUAAUGAUUGUUACAUCAUUCACUUUUUGCAAUUGCCAUUUAAAAAUUCACAAUACACAUAAUAAGGUAUCCACUUUUUAUAACUAUCCCACUGCUAAUUUCAACUAUGUAUGCAAACAAGUUGGAAAAAUAGUGUGUCAGCUCUUUGAUCUUAAGUCUCUUCUUUACUCAGUGGAGCUUACUGGAAGAGUCAUCCCAAUUCCUAGAAAACCACAGGUUUUGGUGUAUUAAGCAGGUAGCACAUUAAGAAAUUUUAUUGUACAUACCCACAGAGUCAGGGAUUUUAAGCCAAAUGGUUGCAUUUUUUUUUUCAGAGUGAAAAUUUAAAAGGAAAGAUAAUUAUGCUACUAUUUAAUAGAAUCAUCGAGUGACAUUAUUUAGGUUGUUUUUGCUUUCUUUGAAAAGAAUGCUCAUCAAAUACUAUGUAAAAGUCUAUGUUUACCCACCAACAUAAUAACACCCUUCAUUUAUGUGGCCAUUUGUUGUUUCCAAAGUGCUUUUACAUUUAUUACAUAAUUGGGUGAUAUCAUUUGAACACUUGAAAUUAUACCCCAGAUACAGUCCAAUAACUGCAUUCUGAACACUAAAUUCAAGGUAGAUAUGCUUUUCUGGCACUGCCUUGACUAAAAAAGGUAACAUAAAAUAAUACUGCUCUAGUCCCAAAGGGAUUUCAGACAAGGAAGCAAAAAGAUAAAAACAAAACAAAGCAAAAAAAAAACCAAAAA